GUAAAGGACUGUAAGUUAGAUGCUAAGUUAACUAAGUCAAACAAACUCUUAAUAUCUGCGUACUUUCUUUAUGAAAGACUCGUUAUAAUGUUAACAAAAGGAAACAAAAUUGUUCCAAGAACGAAGUAGCACUCAAGAUAACCAAGAAUAUCAGAUACAGCCACUGAAUUGGCAGAAUGGAACAACGACGAUGGCCGCGUAGUGUUGCUUUUAUCCACAUGGAUCUUUAGACAACAUGGCGUCUAUCUUUAGCUGCCUGCUUAAGCUUAGCGACUAAUUCAACAAAGCUAACUCUGACGAAUCUGGAUUAUUUGGGGAUCAGGUAAUUUACGCUUUCUUCCAUGCAGUCCAAGGAUGUUAAAACUCAAGUUAAAACAGAAGAGAUCAUAAGAAUACUUCAAGAACUAUAAACCACUGGAUACUGAUGACGGUCAGCAAACUGAGUUUGAAUAGUAACCUUAAAAUCUUAUAAUGCUUAAGAGCAACCCUCGCCAUUCUAAAACAGUAUUUUGUAUGUACUUGAAACGAGGAAAACAAAGAAUUCUGUGUAUUUCUAAAAGCAGGCUAACAGUAUAUUUGUUCUAGAAAAUCCUACAUAUUAACUUGAAACCGGUAUAAGUUUAGCAUCUUACACGUACGAUCAAUAAAGACAGGUUGGUGUACAGAUCUGUAGAGGUUAUUUUAUUCAAGAUAAAUAUUGUUUAUCGAUUAAAACGUAAGAAGCGUAUGGAUUUUGUAACUAGAACUAAUUUUGUUUAGUAAAUAAAA